rnacentral:ribozyme from 14 species
AAAAAAGGAAGAAGAAGUGAUUAUGCAUAACUCCCUCUUCUGACUUAUCUUCCUUCUUCUAUUCCUGCUCUGUUUUUUCUCCUCCUUCUGCUUCUUCUUCUUUCAAGAAGACGACGGCGACAACAAAGAGGAAGACGACAACGAAGACUUUGUCAAAUAAUAUAUAUAAAAUGUAUAA